GAAAUGCGAUAAGUAAUGUGAAUUGCAGAAUUCAGUGAAUCAUCGAAUCUUUGAACGCACAUUGCGCCCUUUGGCAUUCCGAAGGGCAUGCCUAUUCGAGCGUCAUUACACCAAUCAAGCCUGGCUUGGUAUUGGGCGACGGGGUCGGUCGAACCACCCCCCGCCCCAAAGACCUUUCCGGUGGGACGGACCGAAUCUCAGCGUUGUGCAAACGUGUCGCUGGCGAGACGGGACGGCCGUGCCGUUAAACCCCAUUUUCUUCAAGGUUGACCUCGGAUCAGGUAGGGAUACCCGCUGAACUUAAGC
rnacentral:misc_RNA from 1 species